UACAGAGGUCCCAAGCGUUGUUCGGAUUCACUGGGCGUAAAGGGUGCGUAGGUGGUGAGGUAAGUCUGAUGUGAAAUCUCCAAGCUUAACUUGGAAAUGGCAUUGGAAACUACCUUGCUAGAGGAUUGGAGGGGAGACUGGAAUUCUUGGUGUAGCAGUGAAAUGCGUAGAUAUCAGGAGGAACACCGAUGGCGAAGGCAGGUCUCUGGGCCGAUACUGACGCUGAGGAGCGAAAGCGUGGGGAGCGAACAGG
rnacentral:rRNA from 1 species